rnacentral:rRNA from 1 species
CGGACCGGCGCACGGGUGAGUAACACGUAUGCAACCUGGCCGUGACAGAUGGAUAACCGGGAGAAAUCCCGCCUAAUACAACAUAAUGCCGGGAGGGGACAUCCCCUGCCGGUCAAAGGGGGCGACCCCGGUCAUGGAUGGGCAUGCGGCGCAUUAGGUAGUUGGUGGGGCAACGGCCCACCAAGCCGACGAUGCGUAGGGGUUCUGAGAGGAAGGUCCCCCACAUUGGAACUGAGACACGGUCCAAACUCCUACGGAAGGCAGCAG